UUGAAGGAGUGGGUGGGAUGAGCCAUUAAAUAUGUAGGGGAAGAACAUUUUAAACAUUUUAAACAUUUAAAGUCAGUUGAAGAGCCUUCAGACCACAGAAGCAACAGGAUUUCUGGAUGGAUAUAAUGGAGUAAUCUACCAGAGGGAGGGAAAGUGAUGCAGAUGUUACAAAUGCUCUGAGAUCAUGAACUUCCUUUUCCAUUGAGCCAACCUAGAAAAGAAUUUUCUGCUCCUUGCAACCCAAAGGAUUUUCAAUAAUAGAGUGAACAG